GGGGGCAUAGCUCAGUUGGGAGAGCAGCAGACUGAAGUAAAUAAGACGUGGCACACAAUGCAUGGAUUCUGAAGGUCCCGCGUUCAAUCCGCGGUGCCCCCA
rnacentral:tRNA from 1 species